rnacentral:rRNA from 1 species
UACGUAGGUCCCGAGCGUUGUCCGGAUUUAUUGGGCGUAAAGCGAGCGCAGGUGGUUUAUUAAGUCUGGUGUAAAAGCCUUCGGCUUAACCGGAGUAGUGCAUUGGAAACUGGGAGACUUGAGUGCAGAAGAGGAGAGUGGAACUCCAUGUGUAGCGGUGAAAUGCGUAGAUAUAUGGAAGAACACCAGUGGCGAAAGCGGCUCUCUGGUCUGUAACUGACGCUGAGGUUCGAAAGCGUGGGUAGCAAACAGG